CUUACGGGAGGCAGCAGUGGGGAUUCUUGCGCAAGGGAGCAAAGCCGAAUCCAGCAAAGCCGCGUAACCAAGAAGGCCUUAGGCUGGUAAAGCGAUGAAGUCCGGAGGAAGUAAACCGUUAACACCGAAGAAAGACGGUACCUCAGAGAAGCACGCUACUCG
rnacentral:rRNA from 1 species